rnacentral:rRNA from 1 species
CUUCAGAAUGACUAGGCGUAAAGGACACAUAGGCGGUUCAUGGGGUUGAAAGUGAAAGUCACCAAACAGUGGCAUAAUGCUUUCGAAACCACUAAACUUGAGUGAGACAGAGGAGAGUGCAAUUUCGUGUGGAGGGGUGAACUCUAUGGAUCUACGAAGGAAUGACAAAAGUGAAGGCAGCUCUCUGGGUCUCUACCAACGCUGGUGUGCAAAAGCAUGGAUAGCAAACGGGAUUAGAUACCCUGGUAGUCCAUGCCGUAAACGAUGAGCGUUCGCCCUUGGUUUAUUCUGAUAUGGGGCUCAGCUAACGCGUUAAACACUCCGCCUGGGGAGUACGGUCGCAUGCACAAGCGGUGGAGCAUGUGGUUUAAUUCGAUACAACGUGCAUAACCUUACCAGCCCUUGACAUAUGGACAAGAAACCCUAUCCUUAAUGGGAUGCAAGUGUUCUUCAGAAUGACUAGGCGUAAAGGACACAUAGGCGGUUCAUCGGGUUGAAAGUGAAAGUCACCAAACAGUGGCAUAAUGCUUUCGAAACCACUAAACUUGAGUGAGACAGAGGAGAGUGGAAUUUCGUGUGGAGGGGUGAACUCUAUGGAUCUACGAAGGAAUGCCAAAAGUGAAGGCAGCUCUCUGGGUCUCUACCGACGCUGGUGUGCAAAAGCAUGGAUAGCAAACGGGAUUAGAUACCCUGGUAGUCCAUGCCGUAAACGAUGAGCGUUCGCCCUUGGUUUAUUCUGAUAUGGGGCUCAGCUAACGCGUUAAACACUCCGCCCGGGGAGUACGGUCGCAUGCACAAGCGGUGGAGCAUGUGGUUUAAUUCGAUACAACAUGCAUAACCUUACCAGCCCUUGACAUAUGGACAAGAAACCUUAUCCUUAAUGGGAUGGUACUUACUUUCAUACAGGUGCUGCAUGGCUGUCGUCAGCUCGUGUCGUGAGAUGUUUGGUUAAGUCCUACAAUGAGCGAAACCCUCGCCUUGUGUUGCUCAGACAUGCGCCUAAGGAGAAAGGUUGUGCAAACCGAAGUAAGCCUAGUAGCCGAGUGAUGUGCUAGACCUAGGAAUUGAGUGACCGCAACUAGCUCUGCUCUCAGUAAGAAGGGAGACGACGCCUUUCCAAGUCCUAACUAGUCGGUAGAGAAAGACUCGGCAUUCAGGUGAGUCGUACGGUGAUGUGGGGUGAAGGAAGUGGGUUUAGUACGCCCAGACAAAACCGCUCCGAAAUAAACAAAAAGGUGUGUGAUGCACUCAUGAGAGACUGCCAGUGAUAUACUGGAGGAAGGAGGGGAUGAUGUCAAGUCUGCAUGCCCUUAUGGACUGGGCCACACACGUGCUAUAAUGGCAAUUACAAUGGGAAGCAAGGCUAUAAGGCGGAGCGAAUCCGGAAAGAUUGCCUCAGUUCGGAUUGUUCUCUGCAACUCGGGAACAUGAAGUUGGAAUCGCUAGUAAUCGCAGAUCAGCAUGCCAUGGUGAAAAUGUACCAUGGCCCUGUACACACCGUUCGUCACACCCUGGGAAUUGGUUUCGCCCGAAGCAUCGGAACAAUGAUCACCCAGCACUUCUAUGUAACGCUAGUCACACAAAGACUUUUGGUGGUCUUGUUGACGCAUACCACGGUGGGGCCUUCGACUGGGGUGAAGUCGUAACAAGGUAGCCGUAGGGGAACUUGUGGCUG